rnacentral:rRNA from 1 species
AACGUAGGUAACCUGCCCAUGUGUCCGGGAUAACUGCUGGAAACGGUAGCUAAAACCGGAUAGGUAUACAGAGCGCAUGCUCAGUAUAUUAAAGCGCCCAUCAAGGCGUGAACAUGGAUGGACCUGCGGCGCAUUAGCUAGUUGGUGAGGUAACGGCCCACCAAGGCGAUGAUGCGUAGCCGGCCUGAGAGGGUAAACGGCCACAUUGGGACUGAGACACGGCCCAA